rnacentral:rRNA from 1 species
UAGGGAAUCUUCGGCAAUGGACGAAAGUCUGACCGAGCAACGCCGCGUGAGUGAAGAAGGUUUUCGGAUCGUAAAACUCUGUUGUUAGAGAAGAACAAGGACGUUAGUAACUGAACGUCCCCUGACGGUAUCUAACCAGAAAGCCACGGCUAACUACGUGCCAGCAGCCGCGGUAAUACGUAGGUGGCAAGCGUUGUCCGGAUUGAUUGGGCGUAAAGCGAGCGCAGGCGGUUUCUUAAGUCUGAUGUGAAAGCCCCCGGCUCAACCGGGGAGGGUCAUUGGAAACUGGGAGACUUGAGUGCAGAAGAGGAGAGUGGAAUUCCAUGUGUAGCGGUGAAAUGCGUAGAUAUAUGGGGGAACACCAGUGGCGAAGGCGGCUCUCUGGUCUGUAACUGACGCUGAGGCUCGAAAGCGUGGGGAGCAAACAGG